CAGGACGAACGCUGGCGGCGUGCCUAAUACAUGCAAGUCGAACGGUCUUUCUAUGGAAGCUUGCUUCCACUGAGAAGAUAGUGGCGAACGGGUGAGUAACACGUGGGUAACCUGCCCAUAAGAGGGGGGAUAACAUCCGGAAACGGGUGCUAAUACCGCAUAGUUUCUUGAUCGCAUGAUCGGGAAAGGAAAGACGGCCUUUGUGCUGUCGCUUAUGGAUGGACCCGCGGCGUAUUAGUUAGUUGGUGAGGUAACGGCUCACCAAGACGAUGAUACGUAGCCGACCUGAGAGGGUGAUCGGCCACAUUGGGACUGAGACACGGCCCAAACUCCUACGGGAGGCAGCAGUAGGGAAUCUUCCGCAAUGGACGAAAGUCUGACGGAGCAACGCCGCGUGAGUGAAGAAAGGUUUUCGGAUCGUAAAACUCUGUUGUCAGAGAAGAACAAGUUGGAGAGUAACUGCUCCAGCCUUGACGGUAUCUGACCAGAAAGCCACGGCUAACUACGUGCCAGCCGCCGC
rnacentral:rRNA from 1 species